ACUUAAAUUGAAGAGUUUGAUCAUGGCUCAGAUUGAACGCUGGCGGCAGGCCUAACACAUGCAAGUCGAGCGGUAGCACAGAGAGCUUGCUCUCGGGUGACGAGCGGCGGACGGGUGAGUAAUGUCUGGGAAACUGCCUGAUGGAGGGGGAUAACUACUGGAAACGGUAGCUAAUACCGCAUAACGUCGCAAGACCAAAGUGGGGGACCUUCGGGCCUCAUGCCAUCAGAUGUGCCCAGAUGGGAUUAGCUA
rnacentral:rRNA from 1 species